UUUUUGAUAAUAAUUUAAAGUUGGGCCUGCCCACUGAAAUAUUUGAAGGGCCGCAGUAUUUUGACUGUGCAAAGGUAGCAUAAUCAUUAGUUUUUUAAUUGAAAGCUGGAAUGAAGGGUUUGAUGAGAAAAUAACUGUCUUAAUACUAAUUUUAUAAAACUUUAUUUUUAAGUUAAAAAGCUUAAAUUUUUCUAAAAGACGAGAAGACCCUAUAGAGUUUUAUUUACUUUUUUUAAAAAUAAUUUAGAAUUUACUAGUUUUUAAUAAGUGUAAAUUUGGUUGGGGUGACUGAAAAAUUAAAUUAACUUUUUUUUUAUUAUUACAUUGAUUUAUGAAUUUUUGAUCCAUUAAUAUGAUUAAAAGAUUAAAUUACCUUAGGGAUAACAGCGUAAUUUUUUUUGAGAGUUCUUAUCGAAAAAAAAGAUUGCGACCUCGAUGUUGGAUUAAAAUUUAUUUUUGGUGUAGAAGCUAAAAAAUUAAGUCUGUUCGACUUUUAAAAUUUUACA
rnacentral:rRNA from 1 species